UACGGAGGGAGCUAGCGUUGUUCGGAAUUACUGGGCGUAAAGCGCACGUAGGCGGCUUUGUAAGUUAGAGGUGAAAGCCCGGGGCUCAACUCCGGAACUGCCUUUAAGACUGCAUCGCUUGAAUCCAGGAGAGGUGAGUGGAAUUCCGAGUGUAGAGGUGAAAUUCGUAGAUAUUCGGAAGAACACCGGUGGCGAAAGCGGCCACCUGGACUGUACCUGACGCUCAAACGCGAAAGCUAGGGGAGCGAACGGG
rnacentral:rRNA from 1 species